rnacentral:lncRNA from 12 species
UGGCUUAGUGAGUUAAGUGUCUGCCUUCAGCUCAGGUCAUGAUCCUGGGGUCCUGGGAUGGAGCCCUACAUUGGGCUCUCUGCUUAGUGGGGAGCCUGCUUCUCCCUCUGCCUCUGUCUGGCCCCUUGCUUGUGUUGUAUGCCUUGGGACAAUUUUCUUGCUCACUUUCUCUCUUAAAUAAGAAAAAGAUCAUUAAAAAGUUACUUUAAAAAAAAAAGAUUGGGUUAAAAACUAAAAUAUUUAAGGAAGACAUCAUUGAUAAUUAGGAAGUAACUAGUUAACCUAAUUACUAAAAUAGGUGUUGCAAGAACCAGCUUGCAAGAACUGAGAAGUGAAUCCAGGAGAAGGAAGUGGAGGUGAUGAGAAAAGCUACUCUUUCAAGAUGGUGAGCUGCCUGCCUACCAGACAAACUGCCCCUCUGCUGCAGCCUCCAUUUGGUAUCCUACAUGGUCUGGAGGACCACAGGAUGAGACGCAGACCCCUACGCUCCAUUCAGCUGCCUCGAAAAUUCUCUUGCUUUCCUUAUCCAAGGAUUGAAGAAGAGAUGGAUUCCAUAAUGAGGUAUUUUCUAAGCCAGUCUGUGUCAGGUAAAUGCUAUCUUGGAAAACGCUGAUCAUGUUCCAUGUCCCUUAAAACUAGUAGAGUAAAAACAUCCACCUCUUAUUGGGGACCCCAGAUUUUAUGUUUCUGGUGAGGACUUAAGGAAUAUAAGGCUCAUUUGAUCAAUCUGCUUUCCUCUUCUGCUGAAGUUGUCUCAAUAGGAGAACAUUCUAUGUGAACAAUAGAGUUGUUAAUCUCUAUCUGCCCCUAAUCCUCCUCUCUCCCCCUCUACUCCUUUCCGCUUGUCCUCUUUUUCUCUUCCCUUUUCCUUUUUAAUUUGGCUUGCAUUUUUGUCCAGGGCUGGCCAGGGAAGCAAUGAGUCUUGGAAAAGAAUCUACAACAUACUGGCUCACUAAAUACUUGUUUUACUGCUAUGAAUUUCUCUGGUGUAUGGCAGGAAAUCACGUGAUUGCACUUUUUCAACUUAAUGUCAACUUGUAUUAUUUUGUAACUACG